rnacentral:tRNA from 1 species
GCAUUGGUGGUGUAAUGGUCAGCAAGGUCGUCUUCCAAACGGUUAGCUCAAGUUCGAUUCUCGGCCUACGCA